rnacentral:rRNA from 1 species
UACGGGGGGAGCAAGCGUUGUUCGGAUUUACUGGGCGUAAAGGGCGCGUAGGCGGCGCGACAAGUCACUUGUGAAAUCUCCGGGCUUAACUCGGAGCGGCCAAGUGAUACUGUCGUGCUAGAGUGCGGAAGGGGCAACUGGAAUUCUCGGUGUAGCGGUGAAAUGCGCAGAUAUCGGGAAGAACACCCGUGGCGAAGGCGGUUCUCUGGGACGGUACUGACGCUGAGACGCGAAAGCGUGGGGAGCGAACAGG